UCGAUGUGAAAGCUCUGAGUUAACUCAGAAAUGGCAUUGAUACUAUCCGGCUCGAGGGUUGGAGGGGGGACUGGAAUUCUCGGUGUAGCAGUGAAAUGCGUAGAUAUCGAGAGGAACACCAGUGGCGAAGGCGAGUCCCUGGACGACUCCUGACACUGAGGCGCGAAAGCCGGGGGAGCAAACAGGAUUAGAUACCCUGGUAGUCCCGGCUGUAAACGGUGCGCAUUUGCUGUGAGCGGAAUCGACCCCGUUCGUGGCGAGGCUAACGCGAUAAAUGCGCCGCCUGGGAAGUACGGUCGCAAGAUUAAAACUCAAAGAAAUUGACGGGGGCCUGCACAAGCGGUGGAGUAUGUGGCUCAAUUCGAUGCAACGCGAAGAACCUUACCUGGCCUUGACAUGUAUGUAGUAGAAGGGUGAAAGCCUGACGAGGUAGCAAUACCAGCAUACACAGGUGCUGCAUGGCUGUCGUCAGCUCGUGUCGUGAGAUGUUGGGUUAAGUCCCGCAACGAGCGCAACCCUUGCGUCCUGUUGCCACCCGGCCGAGAGGCUGGAGCACUCUGGACGGACUGCCUCAUUUAAAUGAGGAGGAAGGUGGGGAUGACGUCAAGUCAGUAUGGCCCUUACGGCCAGGGCUGCACACGUACUACAAUGCCCGGCACAAAGGGAAGCAAAACGGUAACGUAGAGCAAAUCCCCCAAAACCGGGCCCAGUUCAGAUUGUCGUCUGCAACUCGACGGCAUGAAGCUGGAAUCGCUAGUAAUGGCGCAUCAGCUACGGCGCCGUGAAUACGUUCCCAGGCCUUGUACACACCGCCCGUCACAUCAUGAAAGCCGGUUGUACCCGAAGUCCAUGUGUUAACCGCAAGGAGACAGUGGCCGAAGGUAUGGCUGGUGAUUGGGAUGAAGUCGUAACAAGGUAGCCGUAGGGGAACC
rnacentral:rRNA from 1 species